UACGAAGGGGGCUAGCGUUGUUCGGAAUUACUGGGCGUAAAGCGCACGUAGGCGGAUUUGUAAGUCAGGGGUGAAAUCCCGGGGCUCAACCUCGGAACUGCCUUUGAUACUGCAAGUCUCGAGUCCGAUAGAGGUGAGUGGAAUUCCUAGUGUAGAGGUGAAAUUCGUAGAUAUUAGGAAGAACACCAGUGGCGAAGGCGGCUCACUGGAUCGGUACGUGACGCUGAGGUGCGAAAGCGUGGGGAGCAACAGG
rnacentral:rRNA from 1 species